UGAACGCUGGCGGUAUGCUUAACACAUGCAAGUCGAACGGAAACGAUACUAGCUUGCUAGUAGGCGUCGAGUGGCGGACGGGUGAGUAACGCGUAGGAAUCUGCCUGAUAGUGGGGGAUAGCCCGAAGAAAUUCGGAUUAAUACCGCAUAAUCUAUUCGUAGUAAAGUGGGGGACUUUCGAGCCUCACGCUAUCAGAUGAGCCUGCGUAAGAUUAGCUUGUUGGUAGGGUAAAAGCCUACCAAGGCGACGAUCUUUAGCUGGUCUGAGAGGAUGAUCAGCCACAUCGGGACUGAGACACGGCCCGAACUCCUACGGGAGGCAGCAGUGGGGAAUAUUGGACAAUGGGGGCAACCCUGAUCCAGCAAUACCGCGUGUGUGAAGAAGGCCUGAGGGUUGUAAAGCACUUUCAAUUGUGAAGAAAAGUUAGCGGUUAAUAACCGUUAGCCUUGACGUUAACUUUAGAAGAAGCACCGGCUAACUCCGUGCCAGCAGCCGCGGUAAUACGGAGGGUGCAAGCGUUAAUCGGAAUUACUGGGCGUAAAGCGUGCGUAGGCGGUUUAUUAAGUCAGAUGUGAAAGCCCCGGGCUUAACCUGGGAACUGCAUUUGAAACUGGUCAACUAGAGUAUGGUAGAGGAAAGUGGAAUUUCUGGUGUAGCGGUGAAAUGCGUAGAUAUCAGAAGGAACAUCAAUGGCGAAGGCAGCUUUCUGGACCAAUACUGACGCUGAGGUACGAAAGCGUGGGUAGCAAACAGGAUUAGAUACCCUGGUAGUCCACGCCGUAAACGAUGAUAACUAGCCGUUGGGGGGAUUUACCCUUUAGUGGCGAAGCUAACGCGUUAAGUUAUCCGCCUGGGGAGUACGGCCGCAAGGUUAAAACUCAAAGGAAUUGACGGGGACCCGCACAAGCGGUGGAGCAUGUGGUUUAAUUCGAUGCAACGCGAAGAACCUUACCUGGUCUUGACAUCCUGCGAACUUUCUAGAAAUAGAUUGGUGCCUUCGGGAACGCAGUGACAGGUGCUGCAUGGCUGUCGUCAGCUCGUGUCGUGAGAUGUUGGGUUAAGUCCCGUAACGAGCGCAACCCCUAUCCUUAUUUGCCAGCACAUCAUGGUGGGAACUAUAAGGAGACUGCCGGUGAUAAACCGGAGGAAGGCGGGGACGACGUCAAGUCGUCAUGGCCCUUACGACCAGGGCUACACACGUGCUACAAUGGGAAGGACAAAGAGCCGCGAAGCCGCGAGGUGUAGCUAAUCUCAUAAACCUUUUCGUAGUCCGGAUUGGAGUCUGCAACUCGACUCCAUGAAGUCGGAAUCGCUAGUAAUCGUAGAUCAGAAUGCUACGGUGAAUACGUUCCCGGGUCUUGUACACACUGCCCGUCA
rnacentral:rRNA from 1 species